UGUAAGUGUUACUCUGUUAAUGGGGUAGGAUCCGAGACUGCUUUCGGGGUUACACAGGCUCUCCUACCCAACUCCUGUUCCGUCACGUCCUCGUCGUACAGAGUGGUAACUUUCCCCACCGCACAUCCAAGCUUGGGUACACGGGCCUGUCCCAACCCCUGGGGCGGAUGAUGGAGCAAGGCUAAACAGGUCGGG
rnacentral:ribozyme from 1 species